AGCCGCCAUCCACUCUUUGAGCAAUCCGUACACGACGCUCUUCCGAUCUUAAGGAAAGAAACGGUCAAUACACGACCGUCAUCCAUUUAAGAAACACGCGAUACUUAUCCGAUAAUUCAGUAAUAAUCACGCAAAUAGAUAUGAAUAUAACAGGGUUCAAUUUACUUAUAGAAAUCGUGUUCCGACUCGUCCUUUUUGAUGUUAUUUUUAUACCCUUUU